rnacentral:miRNA from 1 species
CGAGAAAGUACUGUACAUAGA